CUGCAGGGGGCUGGGCUCCACCCGGUGGAGUUAGGUUCGGAAGGUGCUGGCCUGCAGGGGGCUGGGUGCCCGCGGGGAGCUCGGUUCCGAAGGUGCUUGCUGGGCCUGCAGGGGGCUGGGCUCCACCCGGGGGAGCUGGGGUGCGGAGGUACUGGGUCUGCAGGGGGCUGGGCUCCACCCGGUGGAGUCCGGUUCCGAAGGUGCUGGCCUGCAGGGGGCUGGGCUCCACCCGGUGGAGUUAGGUUCGGAAGGUGCUGGCCUGCAGGGGGCUGGGCUCCGAAGGUGCUGGGUCUGCAGGGGGCUGGACUCCGAAGGUGCUGGUCUGCAGGGGGCUGGGUUCGACCCGGUGGAGUUAGGUUCGGAAGGUGCUGGGCCUGCAGGGGGCUGGGUUCGGACCCGGGCGGCUUGGCCCUGAGGGGCGGUGCUAGGUCCCGGGAUGGGCGUGGCAGCAAGACUGGCGGAGGGAAGAACUGGAGGGCGGGAGUCCGCAGGUGCUGACCUCUGCAGCAGGGCCUGUGCCCCCUAGUCGCCUCGCCUGGGUUCCCGCGGGUGUCUGUGGGUCACUAAGGCGUCCCUUCCAGGGUGAUACCCUUUUUGUGGGAGUCCAAUCAGAGCGAACCUUUUGGGCGGUAAAUUAUCAUGCUGUGGGCGUGUUUCAAAGAUGAGGUUCCUGAAGCCGUCCAGUGUCCGGAGGCAGCCCUGUCCUUGGCUGCCCUGUGUCCUGGGAGUCCCCAGCACUGCGGUCCGCCUGCCUCUGCUCUGCGUGCCGGGCGGCCUGGCUCCCUUUGUGCGCAUCCACUCAGAGACUACAUCUUCUCCCAGACAACUUGUGUCUACAGACGCAGGUAGCAGGCUCUGCAAAGUUACAGGAACAGAGGGGAAGAGUCAUCGCACCGGCCUUUUUCCGGCAGGGGGAAUGCCAGCUCACCUCUCAGUACACGUGGAGGCCUCAUUAACUUUGCUAGCAAGGUUUCUCAAUUUAAGUGAACGUCACGUGUCAACAGGGCUCAGAACUGUGUCGCUAGGUUCCACAUGCCCUGCGAGUCAUCAGCCACCGUGUCAGCCAAGUUGCCACUGUAAGAGCUUGAUUCCUCAUGAAGCUGUUACCAAGAACAACUUCGCUCCUUCUCUCGUAAAGAUCUAUGCCAUUUGCAAAGCUGCACCGAGCACAGCACUGUGCUUUGUGUACAAGGCUGUUUGA
ensembl:lncRNA